AUCUGCCUGGUAAGUAGUAAAGGAGUCGGUAUCAUAGAUUCCUUAUAUCAUUAGCUUCUUCCUAAAUGUUGUGUUGACUUUAACAGAAUUUACCAUUUAAUAUGACUGUUUGCAAACAGACACCUAUAGCCAAUGAACCCCGUACCCAUAUAACUUGUGAUAUAAAUGUUAAUUCCAUCCACAUAUGAAUCAGUACAUACAAUAGUUCUAGCACUGUCCCCCCCAAUUUAGAAGACAUCCAUGGCUCUGAUCAAUUUUCCUCUCUUAACCAGGUACCAUCGGUUGGAUCUGGCAACGCCGUUUGCCAAGAGGAGAAACCAGAGCACAAAAUGGAGCCGGCUAUAGACAACUGCCGGGAGACUCCAGAGAUCCCUGACACGGACAUCUGUC